GUCCUGGUCGAUUAGUGGUUAAAUCAUGUCGUUGUGGUGUAAUAGGCGGCUCUCUCGGUCACGCUCCGAGAAGCCGAGGGCUCGACUCCCUCCCGGGACA